CCUGGCGUCAGGAUGAACGCUAGCGACAGGCCUAACACAUGCAAGUCGAGGGGCAGCGCGGGAGAAGCUUGCUUUCCUGGCGGCGACCGGCGCACGGGUGCGUAACAGGUGUGCAAUCUGUCCAUAGUCGGGGGAUAGCCCAGCGAAAGCUGAAUUAACACUCCAUGUGAAUCGAAGCCGCAUGACUUUGAUUUGAAACGCAAGGACUAUGGGUGAGCACGCUUCUGAUUAGCUAGUUGGUGGGGUAACGGCUCACCAAGGCGACGAUCAGUAGGGGUUCUGAGAGGAAGGUCCCCCACAUUGGAACUGAGACACGGUCCAAACUCCUACGGGAGGCAGCAGUGAGGAAUAUUGGUCAAUGGGCGAGAGCCUGAACCAGCCAAGUCGCGUGAAAAGGAUGAAGGUUCUAUGGAUUGUAAACUUCUUUUGUCCGAGGGUAAAAAAGGCCACGUGUGGCUUCUUGCAAGUAUCGGACGAAUAAGCAUCGGCUAACUCCGUGCCAGCAGCUGC
rnacentral:rRNA from 1 species